GACGAACGCUGGCGGCGUGCUUAACACAUGCAAGUCGAGCGGUAAGGCCCUUUCGGGGGUACGACGAGCGGCGAACGGGUGAGUAACACGUGGGUGACCUGCCCUUAGCUCUGGGAUAAGCCUGGGAAACUGGGUCUAAUACCGGAUAUGACCUCAUGACUCAUGUUGUGGGGUGGAAAGCCUUGUGCGGCUAGGGAUGGGCCCGCGGCCUAUCAGCUUGUUGGUGGGGUAAUUGCCACCAAGGCGACGACGGGUAGCCGGCCUGAGAGGGCGACCGGCCACACUGGGACUGAGACACGGCCCAGACUCCUACGGGAGGCAGCAGUGGGGAAUCUUGCGCAAUGGGCGAAAGCCUGACGCAGCGACGCCGCGUGAGGGAUGACGGCCUGUGU
rnacentral:rRNA from 1 species